GAGUCUUCCAUGCCGCGGCCUCACUAACCCGUUGAGCACAAGGGCUCGGUGAUUCCGCAGUACACUGCCUCCCCUGCGACAGGUAGUAGAUUAGCAGCGCCGCUUUCACUUGUUUCCACCACAUUGGAGAGAAAGAGGAGAAGCAUUGGAUUCUUGCAAGAACAGGGGAGAUGGAUAUGGUGGCUGAUGAACGUCGUCACAUUAGAGCCGUGGUUAUCCUGGUUUUGUAAAAGAUGCUCAUGGAAAUGUCCUCACCGGAUUCCAAGUGCCCUUUUGGCUUUGUUGAAACAGCCAAUGUUGCAGUCCUCACUCAUCUAAUGGAGCUUACCAGGCUAUAUUAACUCUGUGUAAAAAAUAUUCCACCAUGUAUACGCAUUAGAGCUUCCUCCCUCCACAGGUUGGUCCUGCCAUUUUACAAUGUGCAAGCUCGUUCUUUGCGCGGUCGUUGUCAUCUAACAACACUGAUGUCUCUGAUGCUACCUGCAGCCAAGAUCGUCUUCAAGAUUUGAGCUUCACAGGUGGUGUUCUGGAGCUUUGUUUCAUGAGAAAAAGAUGAAUUAUUGUCCAGAACCCCAGAUUGGUAGCAGGAGAACAUCAAAUAGUUGGGACCUUCUGCUUGUCCUUGUUCCGAGGAUGCUGCUCCUGCAUGCUCUACUCGGUUCCAGCUUUGACACAUCAACUGUAAGAUCAACCAGGAAUGCUCCACAGGAUUCCUUGGUUCGGGUGUGCAGCUUCAUUCAGCUCCCCUGCGCUGGCCUUUGUCAUGUUGCACCGCAAUGAUGCGAGUGGAGACAGCUGCUCAAGGUCAUGUUUCAUGCGCAGUGGCAGCUGCCAUCCGCUCCGAUGUCCCUCUUAACCUGCAAUCAUCAACAGGUUAAUUAGUAUAGCAUGUGCUGUCUGUCCCAAUGUGAUCGUCUACCGCGCUCUAUUUGAGCCAAUAAUAGAUUAAACUUGUUAUAUUC